GAUGAACGCUGGCGGCGUGCCUAAUACAUGCAAGUCGAGCGAACAGACGAGGAGCUUGCUCCUCUGACGUUAGCGGCGGACGGGUGAGUAACACGUGGAUAACCUACCUAUAAGACUGGGAUAACUUCGGGAAACCGGAGCUAAUACCGGAUAAUAUAUUGAACCGCAUGGUUCAAUAGUGAAAGACGGUUUUGCUGUCACUUAUAGAUGGAUCCGCGCCGCAUUAGCUAGUUGGUAAGGUAACGGCUUACCAAGGCGACGAUGCGUAGCCGACCUGAGAGGGUGAUCGGCCACACUGGAACUGAGACACGGUCCAGACUCCUACGGGAGGCAGCAGUAGGGAAUCUGCCGCAAUGGGCGAAAGCCUGACGGAGCAACGCCGCGUGAGUGAUGAAGGUCUUCGGAUCGUAAAACUCUGUUAUUAGGGAAGAACAAAUGUGUAAGUAACUAUGCACGUCUUGACGGGACCUAAUCAGAAAGCCACGGCUAACUACGU
rnacentral:rRNA from 1 species